rnacentral:rRNA from 1 species
GGGUUGUGAGGUUAAGCGACUAAGCGUACACGGUGGAUGCCCUGGCAGUCAGAGGCGAUGAAGGACGUGCUAAUCUGCGAUAAGCGCCGGUAAGGUGAUAUGAACCGUUAUAACCGGCGAUUUCCGAAUGGGGAAACCCAGUGUGACUCGUCACACUAUCAUUAACUGAAUCCAUAGGUUAAUGAGGCGAACCGGGGGAACUGAAACAUCUAAGUACCCCGAGGAAAAGAAAUCAACCGAGAUUCCCCCAGUAGCGGCGAGCGAACGGGGAGGAGCCCAGAGCCUGAAUCAGCAUGUGUGUUAGUGGAAGCGUCUGGAAAGGCGCGCGAUACAGGGUGACAGCCCCGUACACAAAAGCGCAUGUGCUGUGAGCUCGAUGAGUAGG